rfam:Candidatus Nealsonbacteria bacterium RIFCSPLOWO2_01_FTLL_41_9 rifcsplowo2_01_scaffold_57335, whole genome shotgun sequence.
GGGCCCGUAGCUCAACUGGUAGAGCAAUUCCCUUUUAAGGAAGAGGUUCCGGGUUCGAUUCCCGGCAGGCCCA